GCCCUGGCUGCAGAGGAGAGAGAAGGUCACACUCGGACUCACGAUCUGCGACAAUCAAGGGCUGCGCGGUGGGUGUUGCACAUGGCGGACCAUGCACCCCCAGGAGCCAGACUUGUCCAGGGCUCACCGGGACUGGCUCACGGCUCACCGGCUCAAAGACGCCUGCCUGAACCCUGGACACCGGCGCCCUGCACCCUGGCGCUCCCACCCGACACGCGCCUGGACAGCGAGCUGCACACAAAUGGCCAGCACAUUCUGCCGGUGGCGCCCGCUCAACGGCGGGCAUGAGGACACGGCGCUGGCUGGCUCACUGCAGGACCUGGGGUAUCCAGACGUGCUCAGGCACACAAUAAACAGUUGCAGGCCAGAAACAACCUCCUUUCCAUCACAAACAGCUUGGGAGCUGAGGCGCUGCAAAGGGAACAAGACUCAGGCCUCCAGCCCAAGGGCCUUCCUCCAUAGAGGAGCUGUGACGGAGCAGCGCCACAGCACGAGCUGGCCCGGGGCCACCACGCAGCUGCCGUCCACGCCGGCCCUGCCCGUGGGCUGGUUCUGAGUGGUCCCUCCCACCUGCCCUCCUCUGGCCAGGCUGAGAGAACCUCACAGCCUCUGCUGCGGGGACUCAUUCCCUUCAGUGAAUGACUUUUCUGCGGACUUCAUGACUGCCCAGGUGCGGUGGCUCACCCCUGCAGUCCCACUGCUUUGGGAGGCCAAGGCAGGAGGACUGCUCGAGGCCAGGAGUUUGAGACCAGUCUGAGCAACAUAGUGAGACUCCGUGUCUAGAAAGAAUUUCAAGAAUUAGCCAGGCACGGUGGUGCACCUCUAGUCUCAGCUACUUGGGAGGCUGAGAAAGGAGGGUCGCUUGAGCCCAGGAAGCUGAGGGUACAGUCAGCCACAAUGGCGCCACUGUACUCUAGCCUAGGCAAUAGAGCCAGACCCUGUCUCAAAUAAUAAACAAAAAACAAACACUUCAUGGCUGCAUUUGCAUCCUGCCGGGACCCUCAAUGAUCCUGCCAAGAACACCAAGGACAUCCGCAAACACGCACCCCGCCCCCGCCGGCCUAGAGCAAAGAAAACCAAACCAAGAGCCAAAAACAAACGAAGCCAUUCAACCCUGCAAAGAAUCAAAGAAAUGCAAAUUAAAACACGACAGCCUAUCUCACUGGCAAAGGGAAAAAAGAAUAAAAAUACAUAGCGCUGGCAGGGAUCUGAGGGGACAGACGCAGCGCUACGGGUGGGGCUGUCAAAUGGCAUCGCUUCUGGGGGCAAUUUUCCAAUGAGCAUCAGAAGUCACAAAGAUGUUUGCCUCCCCGACCCUGCGGCUCCCUCUCCAUGCUCUGUCCUUCAGCGUCCGGCGUGGCACAGCGACGAGGGCCGCGUCUGCUGGCAGGACGGGAUGCCACUUGCUCCACCUACAUAUUCAGCGUCUCCGUUCUUUACUAUAAUCGAGCGUUGCUUUUGUGACUUGUACUUUUUAAAAUGCCAUUAUUAAAAAGUCUAUGAUUUUUCCUCUGGAGAGAUGUAUAUAACGCAUAAUUAAAUGACUGAGGUUGUCGGGCAGCACACGGAGCCGUACGUGUUUUCAAACACCCACAGUGUGCACAGAGCAAGUCUGUGAGGCCAACACCCACCCCGUCUCUCGGAUGAGCGCUACAUAGUGAGCCGCCGUGCUGGUAGGACCCUCGCUGCUGCUGCUGCUGCUGUUCUAAGCUUCCUGCGAGCGAGCUAUGGGCUUGGAUCUCCCGGAAUCCCUCCCUGCCCUCUCCAACCUCAGCUCCUCCUAGCUCCCUAAGGGUCUUCCCACCCUCCCUUCUUUCCUCAGGGCUUGCCCACCCUCACCCUCGAUUCCUCUGCCACACCUUCCUAAAGGUGUGACUCCGAGCCUUGGGCAUACGCAAAGUCACCCCCUUGGAAAAGGACGUCUGUCCUUAGUUUAAUCUAGAGACAAACAGUGCCGCUACAGCGUGAAGAUGGCUACCCUCGGAAUGAUGUUCCAAAUGCAUAAAAUACACAGGACUAUAGGAGAAAGCAAUUAUAAUCCAAUACACGUUAUCAAAUUAUUGAAGCAAUGGAUCUGUGAUGUAGUAAUAUGUGACUCGCGUGACACAGCAGCAGGUCACGCCGCAGUAACCCGGCAGCGGUGCUCGGCACAACUGGCAUGGCGUCACUACCGUGAUGGGACCCCUGCAGCAGGACAUGGGAACACCUGUGACUUCUGAUGACAGACGUUUGUUGCUGAUGUUCAUAAUGGAAGGAAACGGUACGCUUUGCUGAAAGGUUAGUGAAAAUUAGUAAUUUCCUCCUAUCCAGCCUCACAGAUCCCCUGACUUCUAUCUGUGACAUCCGAGCUGAGAGCCCCAGACAGAGGGUUAGGAAACCUCGGAGACCACCUAGUUACUUCUCCCUGGGAGCUCAGAGACUGGCCAAAGCUCACGCCUCUCCAGCUGCUGGAAACUCAGGCCCAGAGCCCCACACUGGCUGCUGCUGCCCCCGCACGCCACGGGACUACCGACGCCGGGGAAAGAGACAGUGGGGUCUCGGCCGGGUUGUUGUCUCCACCCUCAUCAAAGAAACUCCAUGGACCACCCCUAGUCCCCAGAUCUGCCAGUCAUACUUGGAGGGGCAGUGGGAGGGAAGAUCUGAAGAAGUGAUCCUGAGCUCACGAGACACCCACACUCUCUUCAAAGCCAAGGGUGCCAGCUGCCAUCUCAUCCCUAAACCCACAAAGCAGCACAGAAAAACGCUCCACAAAAUGUGACUACCCUUUGGACGAAACACCAGCAAACCAAAUGCAGCAACAUCUAAAAAGGACUAGGCACCAUGACCAAGAGGAUGUAUGACACAGUGCAAGGUUGGUUCAAAAUACAAAAAGCAAUGCAUUGCAUCUCAUUAGAAUAAAGCACUAAGGAAAACACAGGAUCAUCUCGACAGAUGCAGAAAAUGCAGUUAACAGAAAUUCCCCACCUCUACAGGACAAAAAUAUGGAAUAGCCGAGGCACAGAAGGAAGGGCCCAGAGUCUGACAGAGGGCACGCACGGCCUACGGCCAACAUCAUGCUCGAUGGCCAAAAACCGCACGCUCUCCCUAAGACCAGGGCGCCCGGCUCACCACAUCCAGCCAACACCGAACUAGAGGUCUCAGCCAGGACAAUUAGGGAAGAAGACAAAAGGCAGCCAGGUUGAAAGGGAAGAAAUAAAACUAGUUCGAAUCACAGAUGACAGGAUCCUGUGUGCACAAAGUCCUGCGGACUCCACUGAGAAGCUAUUACAACUAACGAGAGCUCAGCAGGGUGCAGGGCAGGAAAAACCAACUGCAUUUCCGCACAAUUUCCAGGAGCAACCCGAAAAUGAAAUUCACAAUCCCAGCACUCUGGGAGGCCCAGGCAGGCGGAUCACCUGCGAUCAGGAGUUCAAGACCAUGUUAUCCAUAAACGUGGUGAAACCCCGUUUCUACUAAAAACACAAAAAAUUAGCCGGGCGUGGUGGUGUGCGCCUGUAAUCCCAGCUACUCGGGAGGCUGAAGCAGGAGAAUCGCUUGAACCUGGGAGGCGGAGGUUGCGGUGAGCCGAGAUCGCGCCACCGCACUCCAGCUUGGGCAACAAGAGCGAAACUCCAUCUCAAAACAAAAAAACAAAAAAACACAAAAAGAAAAAAAAGGGAAGAAAAUUCACAACUCUAUUUUUUUUUUUCCCCCCUAAGACAAAGUCUCGCUCUGUUGCCCAGGCUGCAGUGCAGUGGUGUGAAGUCAGCUUACUGCAACCUCUUCCGCCUCCCGGGUUCAAGCGAUAUCCUCCCACCUCAACUGGUCUCCAACUCCUGACCUCAGGUGAUCCACCCACCCUGGCCUCCCAAAGUGCUGGGAUUACAUGUGUUAGCCACCGUGCCCAGCCAAUAACUCUAUUUAGAAUAACAUUAAAAAUAAAUAAGAAUAAAUGUAACAAAAGCAGCAUAAAGCUUAUACUCUGAAAACUACAAAGUGUUUUUGAAAGAAAGAUCUAAAUAAACAGAAAGACAUCCCACGGUGACGGCUCAGAAGACUUAACAUGGGUUAACAAUGGUAACGCCUCGUAAGCUCAUCUCUAGACUCAAUGCCAUCCCUUCUCAGAUCCCGGCAGGCUUUCACUGAGGGCAGCGUUUUCAAGGCCCAUCUGCAUGGCAGCGUGCAUGGGUGCCUCAUCCCUCCUUAGGGCUGGAGAAGAUUCCCUCGUUGUGUGGACACGCCACUCGCUCAUCCACUCAUCUGACGACACGAGUCGUUUCCACCUUUGGGCUACCGUGAAUGAUGCUGUGGGCAUUCUAGCACCUGUUUUUGUCUGAAUGUGUGUUUUCAUUUCUUUUGGGUUCAUACCUAGGAGUGGGACUGCAGGGUCAUAUGGUAAUUCUAUUUCCUUUUGAGGAGCUGCCAGCCUGUUUUCCAAAGUAGCUGUACUAUCUGACAUUCCCACCCACGGCAUAUGUGGGUUCCAGUCCCCCUACAUCCUUGCUAACAUUUGUUAUUAUCUGUCUUCUCAUCACAGUCAUCCUAGUGGGUGUGAGGUAGUAUCACCCUGUGGUUUUGAUUUGCAUUUUCCUAAUGACUAAUAAUGUUGAAGAACUUUGCAUGUGCUUAUGGGCCAUUUGUUUAUCUCUCCUUUGGAAAAAUGUCUAGUCAUACCCUUUGUUCCGUGCUUUAUUUUUUUUUUCUCCCUCUGAGUUCCUUACAUUCUGGAUACAAGUCCCUUAUCAGAUAGAUGAUUAGCAGAUCGUGUCUCCUAUUUGGUGGGUCUUUUCACUUUCGUGAUAUCACUUGAAGCACAAAAGUACUUAAACUUCAUAUAAAUCUAACUCAUCCUUUUCUUGGUUGCUUAUGCUUUUGGCAGUGUAUCUAAGAAAACAUUGCCUAACCCAAUUGUCACAUUUAAUCCUAUAAUUUCUUCUAAGAGUGUCAUAGUUUUCGCCCUUACAUUCAGACCUCUAAUGCAUUCGGAGUGAACUGUUUUUGAGAUGGAGUCUCACUCCGCCGCCCAGGCUGGAGCGCAGUGGUGCGAUCUCCGUCUCCCAGGUUCAAGUGAGUCUCCUGCCUCAGCCCCCACUCCAAAUAGCUGGGAUUACAGGCGCACACCACCACGCCUGGCUAAUUUUUGUAUUUUUACUAGAGAUGGGCAGCCGGUCGCGAACUCCUGACCUCAAGUGAUCCGCCCACUUCAGCUUUCCAAAGUGCUGAGAUUACAGGCGUGAGCCACCAUGCCAGCCUGGAGUCACCUUUUUUUUUUUUUUUUUUUGGUGAGCCGGGGAGAUGGGAGGCGCAAGGAUGGAGUUUUCCUCUGUUGCCCAGGCUGCAGCACAGUGUCGUGAUCUUGGCUCACCGCAACCUCCGCCUACCAGGUUCUAGCGAUUCUCCUGCCUCAGCCUCCCAAGUAGCUGGGAUUACAGGAGUCACCUGGCUAAUCUUUUUUUUUUUUUUUUUUUUUGAGAUGACGUUUUGCUCUUGUUGCCCAGGCUGGUGUGCAACAGUGUGGAUCUCGGCUCACUGCAACCUCCACCUCCCAGGUUCAAGUUAUUCUCCUGCCUCCUGAGUAGCUGGGACUACAAGCGUGUACCACCACACCUAGCUAAAAACACACCUGUAUUUUCAGUAGAGACAGGGUUUCACCAGGUUGGUCAGGUGGGUCUCGAACUCCUGACCUCAGGUGAUCCGCCUGCCUCGGCCUUCCAAAGUGCUGGGAUUACAGGCGUGAGCCACCGCGCCCAGCCGUAAAUUUUGUAUUUUUAGUAGAGACAGGGUUUCAUCACGUUGGCCAGGCUGGUCUCGAACUCCUGACCUCAGGUGAUCCACUCGCCUCAGCCUCCCAAAGUGCUGCGAUUACAGGUGUGAGCCACCGUGCCUGGCCCUGGAGUGAGCUUUUGUGUAUGGUGUGAGGAAGGGGUAAUAACUUUUUAAUGAAUUAACCAUCAUUGGAAGAGAAUGGUGAACCAAUUUGUGGUUUUCAAAAAUGGCAUGAAAAGGGGAAAGAAGCAUCUAUCCUACUUUUCCUUUACAGAUGAUACCACGAGUUAACCCAAAAGUUGCUGGGGAGAAGUUUCUCUUUAAUGAAUUCCAUCUCAUGAAUGUAUCAGGCUGUGACCUUUCUGCACUCUCUAAUGAGUUAAUGAAUUUACGCCAAUUAUGGCCACGAAUGCUGCUGCUGUCACAGAGAGAUGCCGGAUAAAGAACACCCACCACCAGUCUCUGAACAGGGAGGGGAGAAUCAACUCUGAAUGUGAUGUAGUGGCCAGGAGAGAGGACCAUGUUCCACAACGCCACACAGAUGCAAAUGACCUGUUUCUUCAACAAACUGCAAGGGAAAACAUAAAAAUGGGGGAAGCUACAGAUUAAAAUACAUGUGUUUGGACACAGAGUACUUAAUGGCAAAAGAAAAAGAAAAAAUUAAAAAAUGAAAUUGUGCAAAACUUAUUUGAAUCCUGUUCAAGUGAGCAACAAAACAUUAUGAUGUACAUGAGACAACUGGAAAUAUAACUCUGACUGGACACUUUGAGAUAUUAAGCAAUUACUGUUCAUUUUUAUGUAUCAAACAGUAUGGUAUUGUGGUUACGCUUUUAAAAAGAUUUGUAUUUUAGCGAUACCUACUGGAAUUUUUACAGGGAAAACCGACUGAGGAUGCUGGGCAUCAGGUCACUAGCACCGAGUGGAUUUUUUACAAUAAGCAGUAAUUCUCCCCAGCCCCAUGCAUCAUAGCCAAUCCUAAAUGAAUGCCAAUCUGGAAAAGACCAAAAUAAACCAUGGGAAGAUGGGAAGAGCUGCUCUUGGUGACGGGAGAAUGGGGACUCUCUCUUAUUGGGCAAAUUCCACUUUCCAUCAUGCAGGAAAAUCCAUCUUGAAGGCAGCUCCUCUCUGUGCCGGCGGUGGGUGAUCCAGCCUAAGCUAGAAUGGCGGCAAGCUCAAGGCAGCUGUGGCCCUCAGGAGAGCGUCUGGAGUCCGCAGCACAGUGGGAGGCGCAAUGGCAGCUGGUCUGAGGGUCUGGACGAGGGCCAUGCACAGAUGGGGACAGAGGAGCCACUGUAGUGACUGAAGCCCACGGCGUCCACCCUCUCCAGCCAGCCCCGUCCACACCUGAAGUCCACAGCGUCCACCCUCUCCAGCCAGCCCCGCCCACACCUGCGGCCUUCCUCUCCUUCCUGUUUGGUGAGUGGUGCCUCCACACCUGGCUGCAUACCAGAAAGGCCUGCACAGGUCAGAACACAGGUUUCCAAACCCCACUCCAAGUCUGAACCUCCAAGGACACCCCGAGCUCCCCGAGGUUCUUGCACAGAGGGCACAGGCCAGAGACAGCCCAGGUGAGAAGCUUACUCUGAGUCAGCUGCCCUCACCAAGAUACAUCCACAGGCUCCUGUGCAAGGAGAGGAGGCAGAAGUCCUCUCUGCCAGGAGGUCCUCCUCAAUCUCCCAAGCCCACACCACUGCCCUGCUCCACCUCCCACCACCUCCCCCUGCAGAUACGGGGGCCACCCUACCCACCCCACAGGAACCAUGGGAAAACCUGCCUCCCUCUAGGAGGAGGGCGUGGCACAGCUGCUGCACAGGUUUUGCCGUGUUCCCCAGGCUGGUCUCAAACUCCUGGGCGCAAAUGAUCGACCUGCCUCCGCCUCCCCAAGUGCUGGGAUUACAGGUGAGCCACUGUGCCCAAGCUAUUUCACUAUUUCAUCAGCGCACUUAAAUGCCUAUUUUUUUAAGUGGCUACAGGGCAACAAGACUAUCCCUGUGCCAAAUACCAGAUUCUAAAGAAAAUCUACCCACGUAACAAACCUGCACGUGGAUCCCCUGAAUCUAAAAUAAAAGUUGAAAUUAUGAAUAAAUAAAGCCUUGGAAUAAGGGAGGGGGAAAAAAAAAGAAAAUCCACAUGAAGGGAAAAACGCCCAGAGCAGAGCCCAGGGAGGUGGUUCCUGAGGCUGACUGCGGGCACAGCCCAGAGAGCGGUUCCCGGGACUGACUGUGGGCAGAGCCAGCCCGCAGCGCUCCUGACCCCACGGAAUGUUGUGGGCUCAUCUCUGGGCAGGAAGUCAGCACAAGGACAGCAAGACACUGACAGAUCCUAAGAAAGCUUACGAGACAGAAGUUCCUGUUUGGUUCAACUUUGUCACAGACAACACUGAGGGAGAUGAGGUUACACUGUGUACACAGAAAUAGGAUUACCAGUCAGUAAGACGGUUACUAUUUAACAGGAAUGAGUCAAACAGAUCAAGGUUUCAGGGCAUGUCUGAAACACCAGGAAGACCGCCCUGGCUUUGUGCAGCUUUGGGCGGGAGGUGCGCAUUCCGGCAUGCCACUGGACGGGGAGGGGAACGGGGCUACAAGAGGCAGCGGACGGCAGCAGGACUAAGCCACCCUAGAAAACAAGAGGCUCCGGCUUGAUUGCUGGUUUCAAUCUUAGCCCCAAAAAGGUGAUGUUAUUUAUUUAUUUAUUUAUGAGACGGAGUCUCACUCUGUUGCCCAGGCUGGAGUGCAGUGGCACGAUCGUGGCUCACUGCAACCUCUGCCUCCUGGGUUCAAGCGAUUCUCCUGCCUCAGCCUCCUGAGUAGCUAAGACUACAGGCACGCACCACCACGCCCAGCUAAUUUUUUAUAUUUUUAGUAGAGACGGGGUUUCACCACGUUAGCCAGGAUGGUCUCGAUCUCCUGACCUCGUCAUUCGCCCGCCUCGACCUCCCAAAGUGCCGGGAUCACAGGCUUCUUUUAUUUUUUAUUUAUUACUACUAUUUUUUAACAGUUGAUCGCUCUGUUACCCAGGCUGGAGUGCAGUGGGAUCAUCCUAGUUCACUGCAUCAUCAAUCUCCCAUUUCAGCCUCUCGAGUAGCUGGGACUACAGGUGUGUGCCAUCACACCAGGAUGGUUUUUGGCUUUUUUGUAGAUAUGGAGUCUCACCAUGUUGCCCAGUGGCUGGUCUCAAAUUCCUGGCCUCAAACGAUCCUCCUGCCUCAGCCUCCCAAAGCCCUAGGAUUACAGGUGUGAGCCCCCAUGCACAGCCAGGGUGAUGUUUGAGGAUUCUCAGAGAAGUUCCCAGAUCCAAGACAAGAUCUUAGGGCCUCCAUGACUGUGCAGAGAUGAAAGCACCAAUUGACAGAAUCUCAGCCAGAGCCCUGAGUGUGAAAACACAGGGCUGGAAACGCCCGGAAGGGAAAGAUAAGGCCCGGUGGAGGAAACGAGCAACUACCUCAAGGUGCCGAGAGAGGCCCCACAGGCACCAGCUGGGUACCUCCCAGCACACAGAAUACAGGGCCAAUUCCUAAGAAACAGAAAAGCCGAGCUGAGUCCGGAGGGCCUGCCUUGCUGAAGGGCCUGCUCUCCACCCAGCUGUGCUCUCCUGCAGCUACUGGGGGCCGGCUGGCCGUCCGUGGAGACGAGGCCAGAACCACCACCGCUCUGUGCUCACGGUUCCCCUUUUCCACACGAGAGCAGCUACAACAACACGGUCACUUCUGUCUGAAUCUUUCCUCCACCAACAAACCUGCACUCACGUCCCUCCAAACCGGGCUCCAGCACCUCUCACCCCUACAGAGCCCUCUAUGGAGGCCUUUCUCUGACGGGCACCCCAAGCCCAGGCAGAGGCCCAUGCACCACUUGGAGGCCCUUGGACCCAGCCUCUUGACCCAGACAGACUCCAGCAAUCACCCGAGGUUCAUCUUCAAGGUCACUUAUAAUGCACACAGCAGCCUUCAGCUUCCCCAAACCUCAUCCCAAGGCUUUAUCUUCUCUCUACCCAGCACUCCGGAGCAGUCUUCGGAAUUUCAACUGCCUUUCUUUACACCUCCAGAGUUUGUGAUUUCUACCCAAUAAGCACCUGAAGGGCAUCGAGACGCCCCCGGCCGGCUAAGACAACCUAGGCCACUUCUCUGGCCCGAGUGGACUUUCAGCAACGUCUCCGACGGAGUUGUCACAACAUGGUCCAAGGCUAGAAACUACCCCUGGGAACAGGACUCGGAGGCUUUGUGAUGACAAACAUGCACGUGGCCAGCAGGGAGACAGACGGACAGGUAACGGAGGGAGGGCACUGAGGUACAGGGAUGUGCGCCCCCAGAUACUACCUGCAAUACAGGCAGGAGGAGCCAGGAGCUGACCACACCGGCUCCACAUCCUGCACGCGGAUGGCUGGGUACGAAUGUGGCCCCCUGCACUGUCCAGAAGACGAGUAGGGAGGAUGAACCAGAGCAGGCGCUGAGGAUGAACCAGUGACCUCCCGCUCUACACCAACACACGCUGCCUGGGCCCCCCCCCCCCCCACCAGGAAGACCUGCUGGCGUGGCAGGGUCUUGCCCAGAGAAAGUUCAAGAUCUGUUUGAGAACAGCCAAGGUAUCCCCACCUCAGUCGCUGAUGAAGAUGACACAAUGCAACACACUCCUCAGAAGUCGCUUUCCAUCUGAAGCACAGAGCCGGGCUCUGCUAGAAAUAAAACUCACACACCUUGUUUGCUCUCUGGGGAUAAGACUUUUGCUGUUCCAAAAUCUGUGAUCUGGAUGUGCAUAUCUUCAUUUAACAAAAUGUUUUCCGGUUUAAGGUCCCUGUAAAAGUAGAUUUUCACAUUUGAGAAGAAAUACUUAAAACAGCAACAUUAUUACAUACUCUAAAUUUUGCUGAAAACAAAAUGAACGAAUGAAUGCAUAUGAUCCUUACAGACUGACAACCAGGGCUACAGGCCUAAAGCUCACAAGCAACAAGUGUUGACUGUACACAGUAGGGAUUCACCACCUCACAUCUCCACGUCAUUCUAAUUAGCUUUUUAAUGAAGUAAAAUCUACCAUUUUUAACGCACAAAAUGAAAGCUAUGCACACUUCUGAGCUGACUUUAUCAGAAAGUCAUGAAAAAUGAGACCAGAAAGAAGUACACACAGAAGCUACAACUGAAAAAGAUAAAAAGCAUCAGUCAAGAUGGUGAAAAGAAUCAUUAGCUCGCCAAGAAAGACGCGCGACCAUUUGAUGUGGUAUUUGCAGGAGAGCCUCUCCACGUCAGCGCUCCAUGGACGUGCGGCCUCGCCUUGGCGCUCAGGCUGUGGCAUAGGCAGGCAUCUCAGUCACACCCAUCCAGGGAGCACUCCAACCAGGCUGACCUCAAGGGCGGGGGCCAUCUGGGCAUCGGCUGUGGCCUGUGAGCCAAACGGUCACUGGCCCUGAUCAUUAAACUGACGUCCUGCAAACCCCACCCAGCCACCCCCGAGGUUACCUGUGAAUGAUGCCCUUGCCGUGCAAGUACUCUAAAGCAGACACAAUCUCAGCCGUGUAAAAUCGGGUACAGGUCUCAUCGAAUGAACCGAUUUUGCGAAUAUAUUUAAGUAGUUCUCCAUUUUUGGCAUAACUAAGGCCGAAAUCUGAAUAUUGUGCAGUUAAGGAAGUGUAAAAAUCCUUUGUUUUGUUUUGGAGCAGGUUUACUCCGUUGCCCAGACUGGAGUGCAGGGGCACAAUCAUAGCUCACUGCAGCCUCAACCUCCCUGGCUCAAGCGAUCCUCCCACCUUAACCCACCCAAGUGGCUGGGAAUAUAGGUACACGCUACCACGCCUGGCUCAUGUUUUUUAUUUUGUAAAAGCCAUUUUUUGAAAACUAACCUUAAAAGUCUGAUAAGAAUUUUUAAUUAAAUGCAAACUGAAAGUACCCGUGGCCCAAGACAGUCAUGUCACUGGAUCUGACGGGCAUCCCAGGCCCCAACUCCAAGACGAGGCACCAGCACGAUGAGGGAUUUCUCAUCAAGAACACCAUCACACGGUCUCGAGGAAACAGGAACAGAGCCUCUCAGCCCCGACUGCCCCUCUGGCCCCUGGCCGUGUUUACGGCCUCAGUGAACGGGGACCGCUGGAGACAGGGCCUACAGACGCCAACCAAAAAGCGCAUAUAACUCACGUGCAGGCUUCAAUGCACAAAGAUCCUGGGGGCCGGCGGAGCAGGGUCGGAGAGCGCGGCAGCCCCUGCCCUGAGACCCCGGCUUUAUGUGCUGCGCGUCCACGCGUGGCACUGCCCCUUCCAUGCAGGCUCCUUCCGUGGACAAAGUGACACAUUUUGUUUUGUUUUGUUUUAAGAUGCAGUCUCGCUCAGUCGCCAGGCUGGAGUGCAGUGGCGCUACCUCGGCUCACUGCAACCUCCGCCUCCCGGAGUCGAGCAAUUCUCCUGCCUCAGCCUCCCAAGUAGCUGGACUACCAGCGCGUGCCACCAUGCCCAGCUAAUUUUGGUAUUUUUAGUAGAGACGGGGUUUCCCCAUGUUGGCCAGGAUAGUCUCCAUCUCUUAUCCUCGUGAUCUGCCCGCCUCGGCCUCCCAAAGUGCCGGGAUUACAGGCGUGAGCCACCACACACAGCCAAGUGACACAUUUUGUAAGACAAAAGCCAUUUCGUGAACUUCUACACUCAUGAAGUGUGUCUGGGAGGCCCCCUCCUCUGGGCACCACUGCCCUACGAUGGCUCCAUCUGUAGCCUCCUUUUCCCAGAGGACUUAAGACCGACAAUAAAUGGAUCCCAGAUACAGAUUCCCCUGGAAGCGGCAAACGUCCAUCCCCAUUACCGGAAACCUCCAGAUACUUCACACUUACUGGCAGCCCAGGACACGGGGACCCAAAUCCUUGCCUGCCCUGAGCAGUGGCUCUCGAGGCCAGGAAGGGGGGCUCGUGCUCAGAGCCAGGCUGGCCUGCCUGCUCAGUUCUGGCUUCUGUUUGCCAGGGUACCAUCAUCUCCCACCAAGGAUGAACCUGAAGCUUCAGGGCAACGAGGAGAAACCCAGAAGGGAAGGGACUUGCAACCAAGGCUGCCCAAAGUGGCCCCUGUCCAGGCCCAUCUCUAAAUACAACCCACACCGAGGAUGCCUGGUGGGGCAGAAGUCCCUGGGUCUCGUUCCUGUCAGGGGCGAGUAAACCUUCACAACCUCCCGGGGCUUUGGAAUUUGACUUAAUGACGAAGGGCAACAUGAACCACUGGACAAAGACCUGGAGUUCCCACUACCUGCACCGCUCUGGCCAAUCCCAUUUGGAAAUCAGUCAGCAAGAUUCGCUCUCCUCUGGAAUCUGAGCCCCUGGGAGGAGAGGAUGGGAGACGUCAAGCGUGUGCAAUUCUGUCGCAGCCUCACAACCAACAAGCAGCCGUGUUCCGAGGGCUCUGCGGGAAGCCCAGAGGGACUCCCGUGGCUCAAACGGGGGCAGAGACAUGCAGGGCCCCGGGGCACGUGAAGGUGAGAGACAGAACAUACCGUGAAGCAGCCACUGACAGCGAGAGACAGAGGCAGGAACAGGGAUGACACUGGAGGACAGCAGGCCUGCCUGGAGGCCAGCAUUCUCUAAAACCUUCCACAAACCAAAAGCAAAGCCCGCCCCGGGCCACGUGCCUGGCAGCUGCUCAGUCACUGCCCUGCUCCUCUCUAGGCAAAAUCCCAGGGAAGCACCUUGCGUCGUCUCCAUUUCCUCACCUCUUACUCUUCCUUGAACAGUCCCCCCAAGAAACUGCCUACCCACCAUCAACACUUGGCACAGGGCAGAUCCACGGGUCAGGCUGUGUGCACCUGACUGCUUCAUAACCCCUGGGUGGGCAGCCAGCACCCUCCAUCAGAAACCGUUUAAUCCCGUGGCCUCUGGAUCUCCAUCAUUCGAACUCAGGAGCAACACCCCAUCACAAUCUCCUGUCCUCGGUGGGCCCCUCCUCGUGUUCACCCCUGCACUGGGGGAACCCAGGCUCCACUCACAGAGGAGCCGACCUCUGGGCAGCCUGCCAGCUCGCUGUGAAAGUCCUCACGGCCCUGACUCCUCCUGGAGCUCUGCUGGCAGCACCUAAGUGCCCACUCAGACCUGAAUGGCGGCACCAGCGGAUGCAUGAAAUGCCAGCCCAGCACCCGCCCCGGUCUCUCCCAGCUCAGCGGCAGACACCGCUGUGCAUUAGGCUUGAGGGCCACCUCCCAGGAGCCGCCCGACUCCAUUCUCUCGACCAGUCUGUUCAUAAGACCUCAACCACGGCCCCUGCCCCUGCUCUCCUGCCCAUUCUCUCACCCGGCCUAGGAGCAGCCAGAGCAAACCCCACAUUCCCCGCCACAAAGAGAAGGAAGUCCAGACUCAGUGCCAGGAUGCCACGGCUCAGGGGCCCAGCCCACCACAGCCUUUCAUGCCCCCCAACACACACUCCUGCCCAGGAGUUUAAAGAGCCCCACACUGCCGCCAGCCCCUACCCAGCCCUAAGACUCUUGGCAGCAUAUCUUGCUGCCGGGAAGCCUCUCACACGGAUCAUCAGUGCAUGUCCAGCUCCUCCACCAACAUCCAAGCUUCUCGACGGCAGAGACGCCACCCGGCAUACCAGCACUUCCCCAUCACCCAUCAACCUGCACUUGGCAAGCACCUCCAAACAAAGAGAGCACACACACUCCGCCGGCAGCCGAAGGAGCUGCAGGAUGGUGCUAAGAGUGGGAGCAGGCCAGAACAAAGCUCUAACACAGAAGAGCCGGGUGCUCGGGAGAGACGGGGAGGACUCAGGCCCCUCCCCAGGCAGAAUGGGGACGCCACCGCACUUGGGCCAGCUUGGAGGGCGGCGGGGGAGGAAAAGAGCAGAUGCAGACUGCACCUGCUGGGGGCGACAACGGUGUGGCGUGGCCAGCCCAGCCACUGGCAGGCCCACAGGUCAGCUGGAUGGGGCAGAGGUGGGGCCCACCCCAACCGCCACCGGGCCUUGCCUCCCAGAUUCCUGAGCCAAGGUUUAAUAACAGAAAAGAUGGCGCUCUAGGGGAGCAAGGGACACCGACCAAGCAAGCCGCAGCAGAGAGGACUGUGCUGGAGCCACAUCAAUGGCUUCUCCGGGAGGUAACGUCCUGUGCAGACUCACGGCCACACCCUGGCGCUGCCUCGGCUGCCUCCCUGAAUGUCAGCGGCCUGAGGGACCCCACUCGGCAGGGAGCGGGGGCUGCUUGUGGGAACACACAGGGUCUGAUUCCAAGUGAGAGGGGUGACUGGUGUGGCUUCAGACGGCACCAACCACGCAAAGGAUACACAGCUUCUCGUCGUCCUGAAAUGUGAAGUAAAGCUUAACAAAGAAGGGGUGAUCCAGGCGCGACAUGACAUCCCGCUCUCUGGUUACAUACGGGACCUUGUUCUCUUUUAUGAUAUGUCGCUUCUCCAGAAUUUUAACUUCAGGUGAGAGAGAAGUGAGUUACUAUCAGAAACAACAAAAAACACUAAAGACAUGACUCACAAAGGUAACUGGUACAAAUUAAAGUCUUUCAAACAUUGUA